rnacentral:rRNA from 1 species
UACAGAGGUCUCAAGCGUUGUUCGGAUUCAUUGGGCGUAAAGGGUGCGUAGGUGGCGCUGUAAGUCAGGUGUGAAAUUUCGGAGCUCAACUCCGAAACUGCAUUUGAUACUGCGGUGCUUGAGGACUGGAGAGGGGACUGGAAUUCACGGUGUAGCAGUGAGAUGCGUAGAUAUCGUGAGGAAGACCAGUGGCGAAGGCGGGUCUCUGGACAGUUCCUGACACUGAGGCACGAAGGCCAGGGGAGCAAACGGG